AUUGAACGCUGGCGGCAGGCCUAACACAUGCAAGUCGAACGAGUGGCGGACGGGUGAGUAAUGUCUGGGAAACUGACUGAUGGAGGGGGAUAACUACUGGAAACGGUAGCUAAUACCGCAUACCAUCGGAUGUGCCCAGGUGGGAUUAGCUAGUGGGUGGGGUAACGGCUCACCUAGGCGACGAUCCCUAGCGGGUCUGAGAGGAUGACCAGCCAGUCUGGAACUGAGACACGGUCCAGACCCCUACGGGAGGCAGCAUUGGGGAAGAUUGCACAAUGGGCGCAAGCCUGAUGCAGCCAUGCCGCGUGUAUGAAGAUGGCCUUCGGGUUGUAAAGUCCUUUAAGCGGGGAGGCGUUACCCGCAGAAGAAGCACCGGCUAACUCCGUGCCAGCAGCCGCGGUAAUUC
rnacentral:rRNA from 1 species